GAUGAAGAACGCAGCGAAAUGCGAUAAGUAAUGUGAAUUGCAGAAUUCAGUGAAUCAUCGAAUCUUUGAACGCACCUUGCGCCCUUUGGCCAUUCCGAAGGGCAUGCCUGUUUGAGUAUCGUGAACACCUCAACUCUCAUGGUCUGCCAUGAUGAGCUUGGACUUUGGGGGUCUUGCUGGCCUACUGUCAGCUCCUCUCAAAUGAAUCAGCUUACCAGUGUUUGGUGGCACCACAGGUGUGAUAACUAUCUACGCUUGUGGUUUUCUGCCAGGUAACCUCCAGUGAUGGAGGUUCGCUGGAGCUCACAAAUGUCUCUCCUCAGCCAGGACAGCUUUUUGAACGUUUGAUCUCAAAUCAGGUAGGACUACCCGCUGAACUUAAGCAUAUCAAUAAGCGGAGGA
rnacentral:misc_RNA from 1 species